rnacentral:rRNA from 1 species
GAUGAACGCUGGCGGCGUGCCUAAUACAUGCAAGUCGAGCGAACGGACGAGAAGCUUGCUUCUCUGAUGUUAGCGGCGGACGGGUGAGUAACACGUGGAUAACCUACCUAUAAGACUGGGAUAACUUCGGGAAACCGUAGCUAAUACCGGAUAAUAUUUUGAACCGCAUGGUUCAAAAGUGAAAGACGGUCUUGCUGUCACUUAUAGAUGGAUCCGCGCUGCAUUAGCUAGUUGGUAAGGUAACGGCUUACCAAGGCAACGAUGCAUAGCCGACCUGAGAGGGUGAUCGGCCACACUGGAACUGAGACACGGUCCAGACUCCUACGGGAGGCAGCAGUAGGGAAUCUUCCGCAAUGGGCGAAAGCCUGACGGAGCAACGCCGCGUGAGUGAUGAAGGUCUUCGGAUCGUAAAACCCUGUUAUUAGGGAAGAACAGAUGUGUAAGUAACUGUGCACAGCUUGACGGUACCUAAUCAGAAAGCCACGGCUAACUACGUG